rnacentral:tRNA from 5 species
AGGGGUGUCGCCAAGCGGUAAGGCAACGGACUCUGACUCCGUCAUCCGUAGGUUCGAAUCCUACUACCCCUGCCA